rnacentral:lncRNA from 1 species
UGGGAAUAAAAUAAAUUGGAGGCAGAAGGCAGAGGAGAGAGGUCAGACACCGAAACUGUCUCUCAGUCAGAGAACAGCAACUAUCUCUCAGUCUCCUUGUAUCGUUGUCAUCAUCAUCUCACAUGAAGAGAUCCAUUCUACAGGUUUUAAACUUAAAGGCAUAUGGGACAAUUUACAUAGCGACUCUUCUAGUGGCUGGCAUACAUUUCCAAUACUGGAGCCUCACAACUCAACAGGAAAGCAGGCAAAUAAAGGAGAUUGGAGGGGGGGCAAGGGAAUCCUCUGAAUGGAUCCAUGAAAGACAGAUCUGAGGAGUUAGGAAGACAGACCAGAAGGGAAAAAACAAAACAGAAACAAACUCCAGACUUUGAAACUUAGGUUUUUAUAUUAGUGAAGAAAACCAACUCUUCAAUCACACACAAACAACUUGUGCCUUUCUAUGUAUCUUUUGACUAAGGACACCAUUAUCCAUUAAUGUUUGAGCUGGAUUCAGAAGUUCUUGAGACAAUUAAUUAGGAUACAUACACAAACUUGGGUAAAAGUAAUUUUACUUAAGGUUGAAACGAUAAUAGAAAUUUUCCAAACAAAAUAUUUACUAGACAUUUUCAAGUAUUUGUGAGCAAUCAACAAGCAGUCCUUCAAAAUGCCCUGUAAUAAAAUGUAAUAAAAAUGAGUUUUAUUCUCCAGAGAUCCUACAGGUUUCAUGUCAAACAGAGGCAUCUUCAAUUUACAGUAUUCUAGAAUAAAGCUGUCAUCUGAGCAUGUAUAGUAGCUAGAGAACUCAAGUAAAAACUGGCUACUGCCCAAAUGCUACAAAGGGAUGUCAAAACAGGGAGAAACCUAUUGGGUCUUGGGAAAAGAUCAUUUGGUUACCUUGAUCUCUUCCAGUUUGGUAUGUCUUAUAUCUCCGAACAUGUCCUAGGAUCAGAACAAGAUAUUCUUUGCAUCAGCUCAUAAGAUUAGGUCUCAAGAUUUUAGCUACUUAAAACUAAAAUCCAAUCCUCUGUGGUAUAACUUUUUGUCAUUGCUCUAGUAUGCACAGAGCACUGCCAUGAGGAGCUCAGAAACUCUGAGAUCCAAUCUGGUUUCUGUAAUCAGUUAGAGAGUAGAGAAGUCACCUCCCCUCUCAGCCUUAGAUAAAAAUACAGGACCAAAUCUCCUUCCUAGUCAGCCGUAGUCAAGUGCUUUUCAAACCACUUGGGAAGGUGUUUGUCAGGUGACAUUUCUGAGGAGAUUCUAUGACUAAAUCUAGAACUGGAAUGGAUUCACUACAGAGAAGCAUCGUAUGUGAUGGUGACAUCCCAAGAUUAGAAUAAGGGGAUGCCAAGGAUGGAACCUACGUGAAUAUUUCCCAGCUGUGUGAGCAAGGGCAAGUCAAUCCUGUCAGCAUCUAUUUUCAUAGGAUUGUUAUAAGGAUAAAGUGAGAUGAUGUGUAAAGGCACUUUACAACCUUCAAAGCUACAUAAAUUGAACUGAUGCUAAGUGAAAUGAGUAGAACCAAGAGAACAUUAUACACAGCAACAAGACUAUGUGAUGAUCAGCUGUGAUGGACUUGGCUCUUCUCAACAAUGGGGUGAUUCAGGGCAAUUCCAAUAGACUUAUGAUGGAGAGAGCCAUGUGCAUCCAGAGAGAACUAUGGGGACCGAAUAUGGAGCACAGCAUAGUAUUUUCACUUUUUUGUUGUUGUGGCUGCUGUCCUGUCUUUUUUUUUUUUUUUCUUUCUCAUUUUUUCCCCUUUUUGAUCUGACUUUUCUUGUGCAGCAUGAUAAAUGUGGAAAGAAGUUUAGAAGAACUGUAUAUGUUUAAUCUAUAUUAGAUUGCUAUCUGGAGAAAGGGAGAGUUUU